rnacentral:rRNA from 1 species
UACGUAGGGUGCAGGCGUUAAUCGGAAUUACUGGGCGUAAAGCGUGCGCAGGCGGUUCUGAAAGUCAGCUGUGAAAGCCCCGGGCUUAACCUGGGAACUGCGGUUGAAACUACAGGACUAGAAUCUGGCAGAGGGGGGUGGAAUUCCACGUGUAGCAGUGAAAUGCGUAGAGAUGUGGAGGAACACCGAUGGCGAAGGCAGCCCCCUGGGCUGAGAUUGACGCUCAGGCACGAAAGCGUGGGGAGCAAACAGG